AUAUAUUCUGUGUCUAGACAAUCCGUUCCUGAACAAAGGAUCCGUAAGGGUGAUGGCUACUCGAUAGCACAUACGGCUGAAAUCAACCAUGAUAAAAGGCCGUGUGCUUCUCUAAACCUCUCUGUGAAAGCUGCUACCCCUAAAAACGUUCACCAUCGUAAGCCUAAGAAGCAAUUUAUUGAGCCUGAGCCAUACCAGAAAGGCAUCCCGCCCAAAAGACGC